AGGACGAACGCUUGCGACGUGCCUAAGAAAUGCAAGUCGAACGGACAGUAGCAAUACUGUUAGUGGCGAACGGUCGCGUAACACGUGGGCAACCUGCCCUGAAGCGGGGGACAACAACUCGAAAGAGUUGCUAAUACCGCAUGUGAAUUGCCUUGGCAUCAAGGCGUAUUCAAAGCCGCAAGGCACUUCAGGAUGGGCCCGCGGCCUAUCAGCUAGUUGGUGAGGUAACGGCCCACCAAGGCUUCGACGGGUAGCUGGUCUGAGAGGACGAUCAGCCGGAUUGGGACUGAGAUACGGCCCAGACUCCUACGGGGGGCAGCAAUUAGGAAUCUUGCGCAAUGGGCGAAAGCCUGACGCAGCGACGUCGCGUGAAGGAUGAAAUCUUCGGGAUGUAAACUUCUUUUACCAGGGAAGAAUAAUGACGGUACCUGGUGAAUAAGCCCCGGACUAACUACGUGCCAGCAGCCGCGGUAA
rnacentral:rRNA from 1 species